rnacentral:rRNA from 1 species
CAGGACGAACGCUGGCGGCGUGCUUAACACAUGCAAGUCGAACGGAAAGGCCCAGCUUGCUGGGUGCUCGAGUGGCGAACGGGUGAGUAACACGUGGGUGAUCUGCCCCUGACUUCGGGAUAAGCUUGGGAAACUGGGUCUAAUACCGGAUAGGACAAUCGUUUAGUGUCGGUUGUGGAAAGUUUUUUCGGUUAGGGAUGAGCCCGCGGCCUAUCAGCUUGUUGGUGGGGUAAUGGCCUACCAAGGCGUCGACGGGUAGCCGGCCUGAGAGGGUGGACGGCCACAUUGGGACUGAGAUACGGCCCAGACUCCUACGGGAGGCAGCAGUGGGGAAUAUUGCACAAUGGGCGCAAGCCUGAAUGCAGCGACGCCGCGUGGGGGAUGACGGCCUUCGGGUUGUAAACCUCUUUCGACAGGGACGAAGCUUUUGUGACGGUACCUGUAUAAGAAGCACCGGCUAACUACGUGCCAGCCGCCGC